AAGUCGUAACAAGGUUUCCGUAGGUGAACCUGCGGAAGGAUCAUUAACACGUAUCCAACGUUAAACCCCCCGUGAACCUUCAGUGCGCUCGCACUUUCUUAGAAAAGGUAGCAAUCCCUGGUAAAUCAUUGCCGAACAGUUUUGAUUCAGGGACUUCUGCGUAGACUGUGCUUGAGCGUGAGGCAAGUGGCCUGGCAUUCCUCUGCUUGUUGGUGUCUGAAAGUGUCACCAGCUCUGUACGAAUGGCGCAGUCACGAUCGCUAGACGGGUCAUUGGGCGAGCCCCCCUCGUCACCUUUGCAUGAAAACGGGCCUGCGCUUAAUUGUGCGGCCACCAAACUCGAACAACUGUUAACAAUGGAUAUCUUGGUUCUC
rnacentral:misc_RNA from 1 species